rnacentral:lncRNA from 1 species
GCCGGCUCCCGGCGCCCACAGGUCCCGGCCUCCCCUUCCCCUGGGCCUCCAAAUCCACAGGCUUAGCCCCCGGGGCCCUCAUAUCCGGGCCUCCCCUUCCCCUGGGCCUCCAAACCCUCAGAGCCGGCUCCCGGGGCCCACAGGUCCCGGCCUCCCCUUCCCCUUUGCCUCCAAACCCACAGGCUUAGCCCCCGGGGACCUCAGAUCCGGGCCUCCCCUUCCCCUGGGCCUCCAAAUCCUCAGAGCCGGCUCCCGGCGCCCACACGUCCCGGCCUCCCCUUCCCCUGGUCCUCCAAACCCACAAGUUUGGCCCCCGGGCCCUCAGAUCUGGGCCUCCCCUUCUCCUGGGCCUCCAAACCCACAGGUUUGGCCCCCGGGCCCUCAGAUCUGGGCCUCCCCUUCCCCUGGGCCUCCAAACCCUCAGAGCCGGCUCCCGGGGCCCACAGGUCCCGGCCUCCCCUUCCCCUGGGCCUCCAAACCCUCAGAGCCGGCUCCCGGGGCCCACAGGUCCCGGCCUCCCCUUCCCCUGGGCCUCCAAACCCUCAGAGCCGGCUCCCGGGGCCCACAGGUCCCAGCCUCCCAUUCCCCUGGGCCUCCAAAUCUUCACGUUUGGUCCCCAGGCCCACAGAUCCGGGCCUCCCCUUCCCCUGGGCCUCCAAACCCACAGGUUUGGCCCCCGGGCCCUCAGAUCUGGGCCUCCAAACCCACAGGUUUGGCCCCCGGGCUCUCAGGUCCCGGCCUCCCCUUCCCCUGGGCCUCCAAAACCUCAGAGCCGGCUCCCGGGGCCCACAGGUCCCGGCCUCCCCUUCCCCUGGGCCUCCAAACCCACAGGCUUAGCCCCCGGGGCCCUCAGAUCCGGGCCUCCCCUUCCCCUGGGCCUCCAAACCCUCAGAGCCAGCUCCCGGGGCCCACAGGUCCCAGCCUCCCCUUCCCCUGGGCCUCCAAACCCUCAGAGCCGGCUCCCGGGGCCCACAGGUCCCGACCUCCCCUUCCCUUUGGCCUCCAAACCCACAGGCUUAGCCCCCGGGGCCCUCAGAUCUGGGCCUCCCCUUCUCCUGGGCCUCCAAACCCUCAGAGCUGGCUCCCUGUGCCCACAGGUCCCGACCUCCCCUUCCCCUGGGCCUCCAAACCCACAGGUUUGGCCCCCGGCCCCUCAGAUCUGGGCCUCCUCUUCCCCUGGGCCUCCAAACCCACAGGUUUGGCCCCCGGGCCCUCAGAUCUGGGCCUCCAAACCCAUAGGUUUGGCCCCCGGGCCCUCAGAUCCGGGCCUCCCCUUCCCCUGGGCCUCCAAACCCUCAGAUCCGGCUCCCGCGGCCCACAGGUCCCAGCCUCCCCUUCCCCUGGACCUCCAAACCCUCAGAGCUGGCUCCUGGGGCCCUCAGAUCCGGGCCUCCUCUUCCCCUGGGCCUCCAAACCCACAGGUUUGGCCCCCGGCUCCUCAGAUCUGGACCUCCCCUUACCCUGGGCCUCCAAACCCUCAGAGCCUGCUCCCGGGGCCCACAGGUCCCAGCCUCCCAUUCCCCUGGGCCUCCAAAUCCUCAGUUUUGGUCCCCGGCACCUCAGGUCUGGGCCUUCCCUUUCCCUAGGCCUCCAAACCCUCAGGUCUGGUCCCCAGGUCCACAGAUCUGGGCCUCCCCUUCCCCUGGGCCUCCAUACCCUCAGGUUUGGCCCCCGGGCCCUCAGAUAUGGGCCUCCCCUUCCCCUGGGCCUCCAAACCCACAGGCUUAGCCCCCGGGGCCCUCAGAUCCGGGCCUCCCCUUCCCCUGGGACUCCAAACCCUCAGAGCCAGCUCCCGGGGCCCACAGGUCCCAGCCUCCCCUUCCCCUGGGCCUCCAAACCCUCAGAGCCGGCUCCCGGGGCCCACAGGUCCCAGCCUCCCCUUCCCCUGGGCCUCCAAACCCUCAGAGCCGGCUCCCGGGGCCCACAGGUCCCGACCUCCCCUUCCCCUUGGCCUCCAAACCCACAGUAUUGGCCUCCGGGCCCUCAGAGCCGGGCCUCCCCUUCCCCUGGGCCUCCAAACCCUCAGAGCUAGAUCCCGGGGCCCACAGGUCCCAGCCUCCCUUUCCCCUGGGCCUCCAAACCCUCACAGCUGGCUCCCUGGGCCCACAGGUCCCGGCCUCCUCUUCCCCUGGGCCUCCAAACCCACAGUUUUGGCCCCCGGGCCCUCAGAUCUGGGCCUCCAAACCCACAGGUUUGGCCCCCGGCCCCUCAGAUGUGGGCCUCCCCUUCUCCUGGGCCUCCAAACCCUCAGAGCCGGCUCCCGGGGCCCACAGGUCCCGGCCUCCCCUUCUCCUGGGCCUCCAAACCCUCAGAGCCGGCUCCCGGGGCCCACAGGUCCUGACCUCCCCUUCCCCUUGGCCUCCAAACCCCCAUGAUUGGCCCCCGGCCCCUCAGAUCUGGGCCUCCCCUCCCCUGGGCCUCCAAACCCUCAGAGCCAGCUCCCGACGCCCACACGUCCCGGCCUCCCCUUCCCCUGGGCCUCCAAACCCACAGGUUUGGCCCCCGGGCCCUGAGAUCUGGACCUCCAAACCCACAGGUUUGGCCCCUGCGGCCUCAGAUCUGGGCCUCCAAACCCACAGGUUUGGCCCCCGGCCCCUCAGAUCUGGGCCUCCCCUUCCCCUGGGCCUCCAAACCCACAGGUUUGGCCCCCGGGCCCUCAGAUCUGGGCCUCCAAACUCACAGGUUUGUCCCCCGGCUCCUCAGAUGUGGGCCUCCCCUUCCCCUGGCCUUCCAAACCCUCAGAGCCGGCUCCCGGGGCCCACAGGUCCCAGCCUCCCCUUCCCCUGGGCCUCCAAACCCUCAGAGCCGGCUCCCAGGGCCCACAGGUCCCAGCCUCCCCCUCCCCUGGGCCUCCAAACCCACAGGCUUAGCCCCCGGGGACCUCAGAUCCGGGCCUCCCCUUCCCCUUGGCCUCCAAACCCUCAGAGCCGGCUCCCGGGGCCCACAGGUCCCAGCCUCCCCUUCCCCUUGGCCUGCAAACCCACAGUAUUGGCCUCCGGGCCCUCAGAGCCGGGCCUCCCCUUCCCCUGGGCCUCCAAACCCUCAGAGCUAGCUCCCGGGGCCCACAGGUCCCAGCCUCCCUUUCCCCUGGGCCUCCAAACCCUCAGAGCUGGCUCCCUGGGCCCACAGGUCCCGGCCUCCACUUCCCCUGGGCCUCCAAACCCACAGGUUUGGCCCCCGGGCCCUCAGAUCUGGGCCUCAAAACCCACAGGUUUGGCC